rnacentral:rRNA from 1 species
AGAGUUUGAUCCUGGCUCAGGAUGAACGCUGGCGGCGUGCCUAAUACAUGCAAGUCGAGCGAAUGGAUUAAGAGCUUGCUCUUAUGAAGUUAGCGGCGGACGGGUGAGUAACACGUGGGUAACCUGCCCAUAAGACUGGGAUAACUCCGGGAAACCGGGGCUAAUACCGGAUAACAUUUUGCACCGCAUGGUGCGAAAUUGAAAGGCGGCUUCGGCUGUCACUUAUGGAUGGACCCGCGUCGCAUUAGCUAGUUGGUGAGGUAACGGCUCACCAAGGCAACGAUGCGUAGCCGACCUGAGAGGGUGAUCGGCCACACUGGGACUGAGACACGGCCCAGACUCCUACGGGAGGCAGCAGUAGGGAAUCUUCCGCAAUGGACGAAAGUCUGACGGAGCAACGCCGCGUGAGUGAUGAAGGCUUUCGGGUCGUAAAACUCUGUUGUUAGGGAAGAACAAGUGCUAGUUGAAUAAGCUGGCACCUGACGGUA